rnacentral:rRNA from 1 species
GACGGUUUACACCCACCCGUGUCUAUAUACUCNUNUUGCUUUGGCGGGCCGUGGCCUCCACUGCGGGCUCUGCUCGUGUGUGCCCGCCAGAGAACCAAACUCUGAAUGUUAGUGAUGUCUGAGUACUAUAUAAUAGUUAAAACUUUCAACAACGGAUCUCUUGGUUCUGGCAUCGAUGAAGAACGCAGCGAAAUGCGAUAAGUAAUGUGAAUUGCAGAAUUCAGUGAAUCAUCNAAUCUUUGAACGCACAUUGCGCCCUGUGGUAUUCCGCAGGGCAUGCCUGUUCGAGCGUCAUUUAACCACUCAAGCCUAGCUUGGUAUUGGGGCACGUGGUUCCGCGGCCCUCAAAAUCAGUGGCGGCGCCGGUGGGCUCUAAGCGUAGUACAUACUCCCGCUAUAGAGUUCCCCCGGUCGCUCGCUAGAACCCCCUCAUUUUUACAGGUUGACCUCGGAUCANGUAGGGAUACCCGCUGAACUUAAGCAUAUCANUA